rnacentral:rRNA from 1 species
UACGGGGGGGGCAAGCGUUGUUCGGAAUUACUGGGCGUAAAGAGCUUGUAGGCGGUUUGUCGCGUCUGCUGUGAAAACUGGAGGCUCAACCUCCAGCCUGCAGUGGGUACGGGCAGACUAGAGUGCGGUAGGGGAGAUUGGAAUUCCUGGUGUAGCGGUGGAAUGCGCAGAUAUCAGGAGGAACACCGAUGGCGAAGGCAGAUCUCUGGGCCGUAACUGACGCUGAGGAGCGAAAGCAUGGGGAGCGAACAGG